UACGUAGGGUCCGAGCGUUGUCCGGAGUUACUGGGCGUAAAGGGCGCGCAGGUGGCGGUGUUGGCCCGGCGUGAAAGCCCCCGGCUCAACCGGGGAGGGUCGUCGGGGACCGCACCGCUUGAGGGCGGUAGGGGCUGGUGGAAUGCCUGGUGUAGUGGUGAAAUGCGUAGAGAUCAGGCGGAACACGCGUAGCGAAGGCGGCCAGCUGGGCCGUCCCUGACACUGAGGCGCGAAGGCGUGGGGAGCGAACGGG
rnacentral:rRNA from 1 species